CUAAGCAUGAAGCCCCCCUCAAGAUGAGAUUUCCCAUAGCGCAAGCUAGUAAGAACCCUGAAAGAUGAUCAGGUUGAUAGGUCAGAGGUGGAAGCGUGGUAACAUGUGGAGCUGACUGAUACUAAUCGUUCGAGGACUUAACCAU
rnacentral:rRNA from 1 species